rnacentral:rRNA from 1 species
GACGAACGCUGGCGGCGUGCUUAACACAUGCAAGUCGAACGAUGGACCCGGAGCUUGCUCCGGUGGAUUAGUGGCGAACGGGUGAGUAACACGUGAGUAACCUGCCCUUGACUCUGGGAUAACUGCGGGAAACUGUAGCUAAUACCGGAUACGACCCUCGGCGGCAUCGCCAGGGGGUGGAAAGAAUUUCGGUCAAGGAUGGACUCGCGGCCUAUCAGCUAGUUGGUGAGGUAAAGGCUCCCCAAGGCGACGAUCAGUAGCUGGUCUGAGAGGAUGAUCAGCCAAACUGGGACUGAGACACGGCCCAGACUCCUACGGGAGGCAGCAGUGGGGAAUUUUCCACAAUGGGCGAAAGCCUGAUGGAGCAAUACCGCGUGAGGGAUGAAGGAUCGUGGUUCGUAAACCUCUUUUCUUAAGGAAGAAAACAAUGACGGUACUUAAGGAAUAAGCACCGGCUAACUCCGUGCCAGCCGCCGCAGUAA